rnacentral:rRNA from 1 species
GUACGCUGGCGGCAUGCCUACAGCCUACAAGUUGAACGGGUUUAACGCCUUAUUAUACUUAACAAGUAGCGGACGGGUGAGUAACGCGUAAGAACCUACCUUUAGGUAAGGAAUAACUAUUGGAAACGAUAGAUAAUACCUUAUAAGCUUAUAGUAAAAGAUAAAAUCGCCUAAGGAUGGGCUUGCGUCUGAUUAGCUUGUUGGUGAUUUAAAAGAUUCACCAAGGCAACGAUCAGUAGUUGGUCUAAGAGGAUGAUCAACCACACUGGGACUGAGACACGGCCCAGACCUCUACGGAGGGCAGCAGUGAGGAAUUUUCCGCAAUGGGCGAAAGCCUGACGGAGCAAUGCCGCGUGGAGGAUGAAAGCUUGUGAGUCGUAAACUCCUUUAUCUUAGCUGAAGAAAUAAGACGGUAUCUCAAGGAAUAAGCAUCGGCUAACUCCGUGCCAGCAGCCGCGGUAAUACGGAGGAUGCAAGCGUUAUUCGGAAUUAUUGGGCGUA